CCUUUUCCGGUUUCGUCCCCGGGUGCAGCCUUUUUUUCUUCAACCGCUUUCGGCUGCCGUUUUCCGAUUUCUUCUACCUUUCUCCGGAAAUUUGCACUCGUGCGUAGUCUGGUUCCCGGUGGUGGCCAGCUCUUCUAAACCUUCCAUUUCUCGUUCCCGGGAGUCUUGCUCCACUUUACCUCUCAAAGAGCUUUGCCCUCCUCCCCGCUCCCGGCCGUUUAUGUUGUACACGCCCCCCCUCCCCCCCCCCCCCCCCCCCCCGCCGCCUUGCCAGUCCUUGUGCUUUCUCUGUCCAGCUGCAGCUCAUUUCGCUUUUGAAGAUUUAGCUCCUGGCUGUCUCUCUCUGAGACCCUUCUGUCAUUCCUGGUUUUGAAGGUCUAAAUAUCCGAAUUCGGCGACAUCCUCCAAAUGCAACGGACUGCUCAUUGGCUGUCCUACCCGGCCUGUGAAAUAUUGCUUCUCCAGUAUUUCCAAUACAUCUCCAACAGGUGUGUUCCUGGUGGUCUUUGGCUGGAUGGCGUUGACAAGUUAUUAAGAGGGUCCACCGAUGGACCCAUAUGGGAACUGCGACAUGGAAUGCGUUUUAUUCUAACAAGCAAAGUUUCCCCCCCCCCCCCGUUGGAAGACCUAUAAACGAGAAUACAAGUCAUGAAAUACCACUAUUUACAAAUAGAACUGCUCAAAAAAGAAACUAGAAAAAAAAGAGAAAAGGUUGUUGAUCUCAUAACUCCCAGAGCAAAACAGCUUAGUAAAAGGGUAGAGGGAUGGAUAUAUAUGUAUCUGCAUCUGUGUCGGUGUAUGUAUGUACAGUACACAACAGAUCCAUGAUGUUAGGUGGUGGGUGCUCACGGUAGAAAUCUUUCAACGUUGCUGUACGUGAGAAAAGAAAUUUAAGAAGAAAAGAAAAAUGCUGCCAAGAAAAACCUCACAAAGCUAUUGGUCUCGUUCUGGGCUUUCUCCAAGGAAAUGAGACUUGAGGCAGCUUUCCCGCUACAGGCGCGUUUCCCUUUCAAGGCGAGAGAGAGAGAGAGAGAGAGAGAGAGCGCGCGCGCGAGAGAGCGCGCGCGCGCCGGCGCUGACGGCAGGAAACCAGGAAACGGCGCGUGUGUGGGCGGGACAUGCAAAUUAAAGUGGCUGUUUCUCUCGCGAGCUAUGGGAGCAAAACAAUAAAAAGCGUGAAAGCCCCGAACAAGUUAAGCGAUCUGAUAAACUGAGUAUGUCUUAGGAGUUGUGACGAUGACACACUGUCCAGUCUAAGGAAAGAGGGUGAGCCUUCGUUUGAGGGUGACUUUUCUCACCGUGACCCAAAGGAGGAGUGAGAGGGAGGGUGUCGAUGCGCUGGGAACGAUGUGGUUAUCGCUUCUCGGCCUUUUGGCUAAGAUCAAGUGUAGUAUCUGUUCUUAUCAGUUUAAUAUCUGAUACGUCCUCUAUCCGAGGACAAUAUAUUAAAUGGAUUUUUGGAGCUGGGAGAUGGAAUAGGAGCUUGCUCCGUCCACUCCACGCAUCGACCUGGUAUUGCAGUACUUCCGGGAACGGUGCACC